rnacentral:lncRNA from 1 species
UACGAUUUACUCAUCCUCCAUCUGUAACUACUAGUAUUGAGGAUGAGGGCCUUCUUCGACCACGCUACUCGUUCCGGACCAAAAACAGAUUGGAAAGCAAGCUGACGUGGACUUUGGUUAAAUAAAAGGCAAAGUUGCUGGACACUAAAAAAGAAAGAAAGCAACAUUACGCUCUCUUUCUCUCUCCUCACAAAUCGAAAUCGGAGUCCCAAAUUCCAAACCCUAAGCAUCAAUCCCCAUCUCCGACCCCACUUCCAGCAGUGGUAACGACAUGGUUACUGUAGUCAAAGGCUUCGUUGUCGAUCAACCUACCAUAUUCGAUCAUCGUCGAAGCCCUGACCAUCUCUGAUCGCUGGUAUCAUCAAACCAAUAGACCUUGCAACCUGUUGUUAAGCAAUUACUGCCAUCGCCUCAACCACCGGAGUGCUCCCUGUACAGGCGCCCAACGAAAAAAGUAAACUUUUUUUCAGUUUUGCCCAGGUAGUAUGGUGUUUAUUUCAUCAAGCAGUGGUAUUCAUUGUGUUCUUCGAUUUCGAAACUUUAUUGAAUUCGUAUAUUUUUUACUUUAUUGAAUUGUGUUUAAAAUGUAUUUGUUGGGUAUUUAUGCCUGUCCAACUAUAUUAAUUAGCAAAUGUUACUACUACUGUAGUGCAGCUGUGAGAGGUCGUUGUGUGUCUCUCUCUAUAAAUGAAACUAUCUCUCUGCUACAAGUAUGUUAUAUUUCGGGAUUUUUAUCUGUAUCGGUGUAUGCAUUUCUGAAACAGAGGCUCAAGUCAUGUUUUUGUAUUCUCUAUAAUGUUUUCGUUUUAGAUUUCAAUCUCUAUCUCACAAUUCAGAGCCCCAAGUCAUGUAUUUGCAAUAGUGGUAAAUUUUGGAACUAAAUUGAAUUGGUGGACUGGUGACUAUAUUGAAUUGUGUGUAAACUAUAUUUGUUGGUUAUUUGCAAUAGUGGUAAAUUUUGGAACUAUAUUGAGUUGGUGGAUUAUUGAUUAUAUUGAAUUCUGUUUAAACUAUAUUUGUUGGGUAUUUGUAUUAAUGGAUUUAUUUUAGAACUAUAUUGAAUUGGUGGACUGGUGACUUUACUUUUGUUGUUGGCAGUUGAGAUGGGUUGUUUGAUAGAUUUAAGUGGGGGUUUUAUUGUGUUUAAUCAGAUGUGAUUAGAUGUAUCCUUCAUACUCAAAAUGUACUAGUGAAGUAAAACUAUAUUUGGGUAUGUGCAGUUGUUCUCAAUUUUAAAACUAUAUAAUAUUGAAAUGUUAGAUGACUGACUCUACCUUUGUUGGUGGUGGUGGAUUCCAUCUUAGAAUGCCCGGGAGGAACUCCGAAAUUUGUCAUGGUAGUAGAGCUAAAGAUUACUUCUUUGCCGAGUGCAAAAAGAAAUGCCCUUGCACACUAUGUAAGCUUGGAUUUCGAGAAAUAUUUUGUUGUGGAAAAGGAGACUAACAACAAAGGAAAAUUAUUCCUUUGCUGCAAUAACAAUUGUGAAUUUUGGGAGUGGGUUGUAAAUGAAACAUCAAGUGGCCCGUCGAUGAACCCUGUGAAGAAUGAAACACUUGAAGAAAUGUCCCAUUCAAUCCAAUCUCGAGUUCGAAUAAGUGACGAUAAAGAGCUCUAGAUUAAAGUGAAUGUGAAUGUGAUUAUCCAGACGAAAGAAGUUAACGCACAAGGGAAUGCGAAAGGAAAGCAGCCUGCUUGAUUAGUAGAUAAUGAUCAAAUAGGUUUUUCCAUAAACUGUUGGAUGUAUAUGACUAAGUUAUGUAUCAACUCUUCUAAUAUUAAGUUAUGUACGAACUCUUCUAAUAUUAAGUUAUGUAUGAAAUCUUACAACUGCAUUUGUUUAUUUAUCACA